rfam:Oryza nivara chromosome 7, whole genome shotgun sequence.
AAAGAGUAUAGUUUUGCAUUGUUUAUGUCCAACGUUCGACUGUUAAUAUUAUUUUUUUAAAAAAAUAUGAUUAGUAUUAUUAUUAUUAUUAGAUCAUAAAACAUGAAUAGUACUUUAUGUGUGACUAUUUUUUUUAUAUUUUCUCAUAAAUUUUGAAACAAGACGGACGAUCAAACGUUGAACACGGAAACCCACAUAUACAUUUAAA